rnacentral:lncRNA from 1 species
UUUUUUUUUUUUUUGUAUGUGAUAUAUGUGAAAUAAAAAGGUGAUUGAAAUUGUGUAGAAGGAAUAUUCAAGGAAAACAAUAAAAUUUUUCUGUAGAAAAGCACAAUCCAUAUGGGAAUGAAAAAUUCGCAAAUGGGGAAUUUUUCAAGUAUAACAAAUUUUAGUCCUAAAAUUGUAAAAGAUAUGAUGGUGCUUAAACCCAACUUCUCUCACCUCCACCUACAUUCCAUAGUCUAGUUCCAAACAAAAAUAUUGAAGGUUAGUUUGACAAAAAAAAAAGGAAAAAGAUUCACAAAACCAAAUUACUAUUAAACUAUAUAUAUCAUGUACUUUGAAUAAUUGAAUUAUCUUUUUGGUUUAAAAUCAACUUUUAAUAUCAUGUAUUUUUGUAUAUUCAAUCCAAUUUUGGGAUCAAAUGAAACACGUAUGACAUGAUUUCAUACAUAGGCUGUGCAACAUGUCCACUAAUGUUCACCCCGAAAUCGAACGAAAUGAUCAAAAGUAUACUACUUCAAAAGCUGUGCGGUGAUUUGAAGACCACAAUAAUUUAGUGCCAGAAAUACACAAUAUGAAUAAUUAACUUAGUAGUUAUGAAUAAUAGGAAUUAGAGGUUUUGGGUUCUAACUGAAACAGCAAGUCUUUCUAUACGCACUGAACACUUUCACAAAUUUCUCUCACCAUUAAUGUUUUGUUUCUAUUCAAUUCUUGAUGAACUUCUGCCAACAUAUUUCUAUCUCACCAUCCUAGCAGCUCCCUUAUCUUCAUCCGAAAAGUCCAAACUAUACAAGCCGCUUAUGUAUUUAUGGGAAUCUUUUUAAAAUUGCAUUUGGAAUCUAAACUUAUCCUUAUCAUCUAAUACAUAUAUAUAUAUAUAUAUAUAUAUAUAUAUAUAUAUAUAUAUAUAUAUAUAUAUGUGUGUGUGUGCGCGCGCGCGCACGCGCUUUUACGUGCUUGAUUAUACGAAAAGGUUUUUCUGUUGUAUUUGUCAACUUCUUUUUUUGCAGGUAUAUCAAGGUUUCUUUUCGUUUACAGUUUUCUGCAUUUUUUUUUUCUUUUCAAGAUUCUUAGUGAUGGAUUUUUUAAACCGUUUAAAGAUUUGCUUAUCAUUUUGGUUUAUAAGAAAGUUUUACGAGAUUUGUUCGGAGUUUUAUUACUUGAGGAUCAUGUGGUUAUUUAUCAAUUUUUUAUUCUUAGGUUUAGUAGAUUUCAAAAGUUUACAUGAACUUUAAGAUGGAACCGUGGAAUUUUAAUGUUGGUUGUGGCACAUUGUAUCACAGUUUUAUGACAUUUUGAGUUCCUCAAUUGACAAUUCUAAUUAAUCUUUGCCUCACAAUAUGAAUUAUCUUCAAUCAGAUUUUCACAAUAUGUAUUUUUGCAUAGAAUAGUAGUAGGCCUAUAAUCUUUUUUGUUUUUUCAUACUAGCAGGGAAAUGAUGAGAAUUAAGAAGUACGAAGUGGGAAUGAAGAGGUUAAAUUCACGACUUCUAAAUCUUAGUAUCCCAACAUCAGCUAUUAGACCAAGUUUUUCUUGGCCUUGUUAACGGUAUUUGCACGGUAUUUUGGUUGACUUAUCACGUUUCAUCAUUUACUUACCUUUACUUGUUAACGGCAUUUGCACGUAAAUGUGAUUGCAAUCCAUGCGUGGGGCUAGAGGAUUGAAGGCCCCGGAUCUACCCGUACGAAAGAGGCUUCAAGGUGGGGAUCCUGGGCCUUGUAAUUUGAGGCACUUUCCAGUUGACACAAUUUCAUGGUCUGGAAUUAAAGUUGGUUGACAUAUGGUUCAGAUUAAGCUAGCAACCACUUUAAAAGAAUGGUGUUGUUUAGUGAAGCACAAAAAAAAAGUGAAAAAUGAGGAAACAGGCAUAAAUGGCAUUUACAAGAAGGUCCAAUAUUUAACCACUGAGCUUUGGCUCAGUGGCCACCAAAAAGGGACUAAAGUCCCUCUUUGGACUGUAGGUCAGGAAUUUGAAUCUUAUCUGCAGUGAAAAAAAUGCAAAGGAGGCGCCAAAACAUCCCUUUGGUUUAGUAUGUUCUUAUACCUACUAGCUCCCUUAUACACAACUUCUUUAGACUCCCCUUCUCCCUAAAUUAGGAUAGAUUAAGUUAUAUAAAUGUUAUCGUUGCCGUAAAAAAAAAAAAAGGUCCAGUAUUUAGAAAAAAAAAAUUUUUUUAAACCAAAAAGAAAAAACGGAUUCAAAAGAUGCAUUCUUCAACCAGGAAGCACAGCAGCUUGGAAAGGCUUUGAGUAGGAGAGGGGAGAAAUUGAUGAGACGAAGGAAAGGUGCAACGCUAGUGAAACUGAUGAGGUGAAAUUCACAGUUGGGUUACUGGUUUGAAGUAAUCACCUAAAGACACUCCUUUAUUACUAAAAGAUAUGCUUUUGGGUAUCUAUAAAAUUUGAAAUUUGCUCCAUUUUCGUUGAUUUCAAACAUAAUGAGAUAGAAAAUAUAUGUUAUUUUCACAUGUUUGUCAAUGUUAGAUGGAUGGUGAAGGAUGAGAGUAGUGAUAGAGGUAGACAUGAACCCUAAUUUUGAAUUAACUAAUACUGAUUUUAAGACUAGAUUUUCCUAUUCUUAGAUUGGCCUGAAAAUUAUUUUGGGGUUUCAAUUAGUGUUGCAAGAGAAAGUAUUAGAAAUCUUUUUGGUGCAAUUUAUCAGUUUGUGGUGUUAUAGCCGAGGAGUUUUGUUCAUUUAUUGCAUGCAUGAUGUUGGAUGAGAAUUAGGCUGUUUGCAAGAACUUAUUGCUUUGGCUGGGUGAGGUUAGAGAAGAGAAGAAUCUGUUGGUUUUUCGUUUCUUGUUCUUUUUUUCUUGCUGUCUGACUCCUGAGGGGUCACCUGGUUUACUGGUUAGGUAAAGUGUUAAGGGUUGUAGAAACUUUGCUAAGGCUUUGCUUGGGAUAGUCUUUGCACGAAUUAAAAUCACGAAGCAUAAAUGAUUCUUAUUCUUUUUCUUUCAGUCUAUUUUUUGUUUUAUUCUUCCUUGUACAUUCAUAUUUUUGUUCAUAAACCUUGGUUUAGCAUAAAAUUUUUUUAGAAAGCACAUUUGGCUUAAUUGAAAUCUCAAUUUGUAAAUGGAACACAAUUGUCCCUCUGUGCUACUGUUUAACAAUGGAAAACAUUUUUGAUUUGGCAAUGAAUGAAAAGGAAAUAGUGGGGAUUGUGGUUCCAACUUUCCAUUCCAUGGACAGAUUAUAAAGCAAAUCUUAUUUUGUCUUUUCCAUGCACAAAUCUGUUGUAGCAUUUCUUGAAAGAAUGGCAAAUUCGAAACUGCCUCCAACCAGCCUCAAUAACUAUUGGCAAUCUUUUGCAAGCAAUUUGUAUUCCUUUAUUUAGAUUAGCACUUGGAUGAAUUAUAAAUCAAUGAGUCCAAGUUGUGCAUUUUUUUGGGUACAACCCACAAGUAUCCGCCUCCAUUUUACAGUCUACAACUAAUCCUGUUCGAAUUGCGUCAGACCGCUUGCAGGGAGAAACUCUCCCAAUAUUAUUUUUUCCAUUUUCAUGGGUUUCGAACCCAAGAACUCAUGAUUAAGGGAUGCAAGCCCCUUCCGCUUGCACCGACAUCCGUUGGUCAAGUUGUGCAUUUCUAUCUUGGUGCCACUCAUCCCCUUAGUCUUUCCAAUCACUAGCCCCUUCCAGAUGCUCUACAAUUGCGUUUUCAAUGGUGGCACUUCUCUCAAUGCUGCCCGUGUAUCCCUAUCGCCAAACACCUUGUCCAUCCCUCAAUAGUCCACCAAAGGUUACAGGUCUUGGAUCUCCAUUGAUACCUGCACUGAUGUUUAUUUUGCAUUCACAAAUGGCACUUACUCCUGUUUUGACUUCUUGCCUUUAAUUUCAGCUAGACCACAUAAACCGAAAGAUUUACCAGUUAAUGAUUUCACAGUAGUUGAACUGUUAGGUUCAAACUUUCCAUGCAUCCACCCAAUAAAAGCAUUAGCAAUUAAAGUUUUAUGGGUCUAUUUGCAGUAAUUGCUUCCAAAUUCCUCUCCAUUUUAUUGGAGUUAAUAGCUUAUGGUAAGAAGCGUCGCAGAAAUAUUACAUGGAUAAGCAGGUGAAGGAUGAAUUGUGAAGUCAUAUCUCUGUCUGCAGCGGAGCUUUUAUGUAUCACCAUUUGCAAGAAGUUCUCUUACCUUCUGAGAUAACUCACUAAAUCUCUUUUAUUUUAGUUAGUUCUGCUGUUAUCUAUCAUUUGUUUGUUGGUGUACAUAUUCUUCAUUUUUUAUGGGAUUAGAACUCAUGUCCUCCGUUUAUCUAAGAAAUAGAGAAGAAAAAGAAAAAAGGAAAAUAAUUAAACCAAAAACUAUAUAAAACACGAAACUGCUAAAAAAUAAAAUGCAUAAUCUGAUGAAAUCAUAGAAGAAAAAGGAAAAUAGUAACACAAGUGAACUAUUUAAAAAGCAAAACUACUGAAAUAAAUGCAGACUUGAAUGAUAAGAAAAAAUGUAUAAAAUACUAACAAAAACUAUGAUGAUUACUCUAAUUAAAAACUCUAAGAGACUUUUGGGCAGAUUUAUGAAUGGUAAGUGGUUCAUAUCACCAAAUAAUCAAGAAAAAGUAAAAUAGAAACCAAUUUUUAUCCAAUGUCGAUAUCUCUUGCAGAGAUUACAUUUAACACCCUGCCCGGAGGAAAGAAAGGGGGAAAAAUUAAAUAUUCUAAUGGGGCAUUUUUGGUUGAUUAGGAACAAAUUUCUUGCUUGCCUUUUCUAUAAUUAACUGAAAUUUGAUUUCAGCCUAUUAGUCCCUUUAAGCCAUAAAUUAACCUGUUUUUUCUUCGAACUGUAGAAACAAAAUUUGUAGUGAAACAUCAAAAAGUGAUCAUCUUAUCCUGCCUACAUUGCAGCGAGUAGUGACUAAACUCCAAAAAGGCUCCAGCAUGUUCAAGUCUAUAUUGUAAGACUGGUUAUUAGCAAUUUAACAUGGACAGGAUGGCAGAAUGCAUCAUCAAGUUCCUAAACUAUUAUUCUUAAACAUUAGUCAAGAUUAUCAAGUAACUUCUACCAGAAAAUGAAAAGAAUCUAAAAAUUGGGAUAUUAGCUUUUAAAUAUCAAAAGCAAAAUUAAGGAGUUUUAAAGCUACAAAAUGAUCAAUUUGUCCUUGUUAAGGACAUCCCCAAAUGAAGAAAAAUUAUUACAUAUUAAUUUCUUUAAUUUGAAAGAAUAUGCCUCGUCCACUUCUGCUGGCCAUCGCCCUUGAGCGUCAAAUCGUGUUUGGAAUAUCAAUAUAUCUAUCUUUUCAUGCAAUUGUGAGGCAUUAAGAUGAUCACCUUAAUACCAAAUCAAUAUUUGUUGUUAUCUAUAAUGUUCCUAUCCGUCGUGCUAAGUCUUGUCUAAAAGCAUCUUCCAUAAAUAUAUUUCUAAAUUUCUUAGCGAUGUUCCAGGAAUAUGUCCUGUCUAUCGUGUGGAGCUAGCAUCUCAGAUCGUUUGCUACUCUCAAAAUUCAAUUCAUGGCAUAGUUCUACAAGCUACUGGAAUUCCUAUUUCUACAACUUAGGUCAACAUUCAUAUUUGGUAUUUGGAAAAUUGCCCUCACUUGUUGGGUGUAAAAAUUAUUGGUGACAAUGUAUAUUGUGAAAGCUUAUCAAUGUUUAUAGUUUGAGAUGUAUGGUGAAAGAUGCGUGUGGUGAUUGGAAAUAUUUGUUAAGGAAAAAUGGAUUUCACUUUCUCAUACAAUAUUUCUGUGGCAUAUGAAAAUCAUAUAGGUGCAUAAUUAUCAUAGUUUUUUCUUUUUACAACCACUUGUGCACUUGUUGAAUUGUCGAUUAGACAAAUAUGUAAGUAGGCAAUUGCAAGGAGUGUAAUACUAGGCCGUAACAACUUAGACAGGAGGUGUAAUUUUAAAAUAAAAAUUUUGAAUUUCAGUGCAAUAUUUUUUCCUCUCAUUUAAAGGAACACUGAAUAGUUUGAUGUGUCAUAUAAUACCUAUUGAUUAGUUUUAUAACAGAUAUAAGACCAUAUCAUUUAAAAGUGUUAUAAAUGUACGAUAGAAGCUACCUAUCAUUCUAAUUUAUGAUUACAUGGUCUUCAUCUUAUUAGAUUCAUGUUACGCCGCUUGCUGUAUAGUGACAUUAAUUAUUUAAUUAUGGGUAUGAGACCAUUGUAUUUAGACAUAUUAUGUGGGGACCCGUAAAUUUUUCUAAUUUUAUAUUAUUUAUUUUAUUUCCUCGCCUGCAUUUUUCUUCAUUAUACCCUACUAUUUCUAUUUUUCCAGAGAUUUUAUAAGUGAAUAGAGUUUUUAAAUCAUUUUCUUAGUUUAAAUUAGUUCAUGAUAAGUUUGAAGUGUAUUAUUGACGUGGGACCCGCUAGUGCGGUAAAUGCGAUAUAUUUUUGACAACUUGUUGGAGUUUUGUAUCAAGUGAUAUUAUUUUACAAGGUGUUAGGAUACAAUUAGAGGUUAAUUAGAUAUAUUACUAUUGGUAGACAAAAGGAUAGAAUUGAAACCCUAAAGGGCCACUUGUCACCAAACUAUUGGAACUUGGACUUUGACCUAACUUUCUUACCUUUACUAAAUACCAAAAAUUUUGACCAAAAAUAUCCCAUUUUUUCAUGAAGCUUGGCCAAACCUUUGAGGAGAGAAAAGAGAGGAAAACUUCAUCUUGUUUCUUCAAAUCCAAACCCAAAUCUUGAGUUCCAACCAUUAACAUCUCAAAUCACUCUAUAAAAACUCCUUGCUAGGAAGGAUUAAAGAGGUUGGUGGAGUUGUUUUGGAAAGGGAAGACCUAAAUUGCUAGCUUUCUUGAGUUUUUGAGGUGAGUUGCUAAGAAAUUCUUCCUUUGUUCUUGAUAAUAUUAAAUUAGUGGUUUUAGUGGCUAAAUAUGUUGAUUUGUGGUAGGUUUUAUGGUUGAAAGUGGAGUUUUGAUGGAUUUUUGAUUUAUUAGUGAUUUUUCUGUUUUUAUAUAGUAAUUAUUAUUUAGUCAUGGAUUGAUGGCUUGUUAUAACAUAAAAUGGAGUUUGUAUAUAUUGGAUAUGAUUGGUUACGGAAAAUUUCUGGUUUGGUGCGGAUAUUUCAGUUUAGGGUUUCAUCUUACCCUGUUCUGCUCGGUUCUGUUCGGUCAUGAUGGAGGCCGAAUCAGCCUUAGAUUAAAACAUGAAAGUUGUAGGAAAUGAUGUUUUAUAGCUGUCUGUAAAUUUUCAACUCAAUCCGAGCACUGUAACAUGUAAAAAGACAAAAAUACCCCUGACUGCCAUAGGUAGAGCUCUGUGGACAGUGUUGACAUUUCACCCAAUCUGACGGCAUCUGUUCACCUUGAUCCGUACUGAAUUAGCAUCUGGCCGAAACACGAAAGUUGUAGUGCUAUGUCUUAACUUUCCAACAGCCCUAAAAACGUCUCAAUCGGACUUCAGUAGCUUGAGCUAUUGUCGUUUACACAUUGUGCGGUUAACUAGCCUGAUUGUGAGACUCUGAUUCUAUAAUUUGAAAUUUUGAUCUAGUUACACUACGAACUGGACUGAGUGUCUUCAUCAAAAUUGUAGCCCUUUAUUUUAGCUUCGAAACGGAAUAAAUUGCACACCAAUUCGAUAAGCGUAGCUUCUGUUGUGUCCGAUACGCUAAGCGACGUCAAAUCUAUCUUUUGUUUUAUGGCUUAAACUUCAUUUCCGGACAUUUCCUAACUUGAUUUUGUACUUGUAUGACAUUGAGCCUAUUGAACGGCUAUUGAAAUGAGAUUAUUUUGUGUGUGACAUUGGGGCUGAUUUGAGGAAAAAUUAAGCCAUGAUGGCUAGAAAAGUAAGCAAAUUUAGGGGAGAUGCUAUCCAAUUUUCUAGGCCAUUUGGUUCCUUUAAGUUUGAGUUGCCUUUUGGUAGAGAUGAAGGGCUUUUGGGUCAUUCAAGCCCUAGGUCCUCUUGUUACCUUUUCGUUUCAAAAUCACGCUUUUGCACCUUUGCAUUUGUGGUUCGUUUGGUUAGGCACACGACUCAUAGUUGAGUUUUAUUUAUGAAUGUCAUUUCCAUAGGAACCAUAAUUGUUUUACUUUGCUCAUUUUAGGACGUGCUGGUGAUCCAGGAAGUACUUCGGGGGGGAACGUUUGAAUUUGUUUUACUUGAACUGGUAAAUGUAUCACUCCCCUCACUUGUUGUUUAACUUGGUUUCUGUACAUACAAUCUGUGAUAUGAAUGACUGUACUAUCUGUUUAUUCUAUUUGAGACGAAUGUGUACUUUAUCACACUCGUUCUCUUGUCUGUUCGUAUGCCAAUUUACUAUGUGAAUUUGAAUCUGUUAUCUAUAUCUGUAUCUGUUCUGACGUCGUUUGGAAGAUUGUAUCCAACGACCUUUCUGUGACCUCUGAGCUCAAAUCCUGUGGCUAAGUUACUUAAGUCGAGCCGGCAAGGGUUUGGUCGAUUAGAUAACGAACCACAGUAUUCUGUUCUAGGAAUCAUUGGAUAUUGAGACCCUUGAUUCCGAUAUACUCGAGUAUUACCACUUCUGUUUCUGUUGAGGUGUUCGGGUCCGGUAAAGAGUAUGUGUGGUGAACGGGAUUUUAGUGUAAAGUGGUGUUCUACUGGACUGGACUGGUUACUUUAUUUGAAAAGUUGACGGAGUGUCAACUAAUAUUUGAUCAAGAUUCGGUGAAGCAAAUGGGAAUUUGACACCUGAGAGUCACCCGUAUCCUUUCUAUCUAUGGUGUUUGUUCAUUUCUUUAUUUGAUUUGUAUAUGUGACUAAUUGAAUAUGAAAUUCCAUAACUCUUACUUGCUAUUAUUUUAGUACCUCAUUGAGCAUAAGUUCACCCCUUCCCAUUACUUUUGUUUUCCUUUCAGGGGCAAACUUUGAAUCCAUGAUCUUGGAAGAAAAGGUCGAGCUAGCGUAAUUAGUGUUUUGUUAAGUUCUUUUGCAACCGAAACCCGAAUCAUAUUUUUAAGUGUAUGAAUACUUUGGCUUGUACUUUAGGUUAGUUAAUUUGUUAAAGACUCCGAUGUAAAUAUAUGUAUAAGUGUUUAACCUUGUCUAUGAAGUGUAUUCAUUUGAGAUUAUGAUUUUAUGGUUUGGUAAGCAUGUUCUCACCUUAGUAGUCUCCAAUUGUUCAUUUUCUUUGGGUCUUAUCGCGCGUGGUACAGGGAUUUAUGUGAUUUGACUCCAUAGUCCUGGCGAGAGUUGGGCAGGCAGUCCGCCGAACCCUUUGGUUUGCCUUAGGGUGAAGUGGGGCUGACUCAUAUUACAAUAAGUCCAAUCAAGAUUACUUAUCAUCCUGAACGAUUAUGAUAAUAUAUUUUCAUUUGUUGAAAGUUAUACGAUUAGUCUUCAAAGUUACACCGUAAUAUAGAAAAGUUACACUGACAAAGUUACACCGACAAAGUGAAAGUUGAUAUAUAUAGACAAAUAAUUGUGUUUGGAUUGUAAAUUAUUUGAGAUAAUUUUGUGAAAAAAAUACUAUAGCACUUUUUUGAUAUAAUGUAUGUGAAAUAAAAAGAUGAUUGAAAAAUGUGUUGAUGAUGCAAAUACAUCAAUAUGUGUAAAUAAGGUAUAAAUAAGGUGAAAUAAUUAACAAUCCAAACACACUUGAUGUACAAUUAUCUUUUUGUCGAUGUAACACUUUUUCCUCGUUUAAAGAUACAUUGUUUAGUUCUAUAAGGGAUGUAAGAUCAUAUCAUUUAAAGGUAUCACAAAUAUACUAUAACGACUACCUAUCAUACAUAGUGAUGAUAACUUAAUCUUUAGGGAAAAAUAAUUGGCCCUCCAACUAUUAACUAAUAAGUUUUAACCCUCAAACUAAUUAAAACACAUAAUCCUAAUCCUUAAUUUGAGUCAUUAUUUUUAAUAGAAAUAGCACAACAUGUGCCUUCGCGGCCCUUAAAUUAUUACAAAACUCACUUUUUGGUCAUCCAACUAUUAACUGAUAAGUUGUAAUCCUUCAACUAAUUAAAACAUAUAAUUCUAGUCAUUUCAUUAAUUUGAGUCAUUAUGUCAAAUAGAAACAUUACUAUGUGCAUGAUAGGAGGCAUAUUGAAAUGUCCCUAUUUUUGUGUCUAAAUCUAAAAAAUAUACAACACAUUAGUGUCACAAUUAAGACACAAACAAUGGUUAUGAAACAAUAUAUCACUAUUUUAAUCCUACCAGAUGCAUGAAUCUAAUGAACAUGUCCUAUGAAGAUAAAAAUGCCCCUUGAUUAUGCUUCCACCGUACAUGUAGAGAUUUUUCUUUCUAUUCGACAUAAUAACUCAAGUUGAAGGAAUGGUUAGAAUUAUACUUUUUAAUUAAUUGAUGGGUUAAAACUUAUCAGUUAAUAGUUAGAUGACCAAAAGUUGAAUUUUGUAAUAAUUUGAGGACCAUUAGGGAAUCAUGAAUCCUAUAACUCAAGUUGACAUAACGACUCAAGUUGACGGAAAAAGUAAAAUUAUACAUUUUAAUUAAUUGGAGGGCUAAAACUUAUUAGUUAACAGUUGGAGGGACAAAAGUUGAACUUUGUAAUAGUUUGAGACCCACUGGAGAAUGUUGCCCUAAUCUUUAUCUCAGUAGGAUAAAUUUACAUCAUUUACUAUAUAGGCAUGUUAAUUGUUUAAUUACUGAUGUAAGAUCAUUCUUGUAAAUGUAUUAACAUAGGUCCAAUCAAAACUGCUAGUUAUUCUAAAUAAUAACAAUAUUGCAUCUUUACCUUCUUUAAAGUUACGCAACUAGUCUUUAUAGUAUACCGUAAUACUAGAAAAUCAUAUUGAUAAUAUGUACAUUGACAAGCAUAGCAUAAGAGAUAGAUAUUCAUUCACAUGAUCAAAGAUACAUCUCUCAUCGAUAUAAGAUUAUCAUCCCUUUUAAAGGUUCGUUGAGAAGUUUUACAAGAGAUGUAAGAUCAUCUCAUUUAAAGGUAUGACAAACGUACAAUGAACACUAUCCAACGUCUUAUUUGAUGAUGGCAUAAUCUUUAUUUUAUUAGACUAAAGUUAUGCCACUUCUUGCAGAUAAACAUUAAAUGUUUAAUUAUUGGUAUGAAACCAUUGCAUUUAAUUAUAUUAGCAUAUAUGCAAUCAAACUUAUCUAUCAUUCCGAACGAUAACGAUAAUGCAUUUUAAUUUUUAGAAAGUUACCAUUUUAAUUUUCACGGUUAUAUCUUAACACUAUAAAGUUACACCAACAAAGUAUAAGUUGCCUACCUAGAGAAAGAGAUACAUAUGCAUUGACAUGAUUAAAUGCAUGUGACCAAUAAUGGAAUUAUUUUUCCGUCAACAUAAGAUUAUCGUUCUCUUAAAAGGUAUAUCAAAUAGUUUUACGAGAGACAUAAGACCGUCUCAUCUAAAGGUAGUAAAACAUAUGACGAGCGCUACCUAUCUUGCAACUUGAUGAUGACAUAAUUUUCAUCUUAUUAAAUCAAAAUUACACCAUUUGAUAUAAAGGUACAUAAAAUGUUUAAUUAAGGCCAUAAGAUCAUCGUAUUUAAAUGUAUCGGCAUAGGUUCCAUUAAUUCUAUCUACAACGAUAAUGUAUUCUUAUCUUUUAUAAAGUUAUACCUUUAGUCUUCCUAAUUGUACCUUAAUAUUACGGAGUUAAACCUUAAUACUAUGAAAUUACACCUUAAUUCUAUGAAAUCACACUAAUAAAAUUAAGUUGCAUUGACAUUAUUUACUACAUGUGAUCAACAAUGAAAUUAUUUUCUUGUUGAUAUAAGAUUAUCCUCAUAUUUAAAGGUACAUUGAAUAGUUUUAUGAGAGUUAUACGAUCGUCUCAUUUAGAGGUAUUAUAGGUGUACAAUGAACACUAUGUAUCAUUGCACUUAAUGAUAACAUAAUCUUCACCUAGUCAAUCUGAAGUUACACUACUUAAUAUAAAAGCACAUUAAAUAUUUAAUUAUGUGUGUAAUACCAUUGCAUUUAAAUGUAUUAAUAUAGAUGCAAUCAAAAUGUUUUGUUACUUACAAUUUUCGGCUUUGAACCUCAAGAGUCUUGCCUUGUUUUCUUCAAAAUUCUUGACUAUAAUCUAUCUAUUUAUGCUCCAUAUUUUGCUUAAGACAUUAUCUUAUCAUACACGUGGGUUUUUCCCUGUAUUUGAACAAGAAAAUGGUGCAAUUUUGAAAGUUAUAUUGGGAUAAAAUCGACAAAUUGAUGUGUCUUCUAAGUGAAGUUUUGAAACUCUAAGUUUCUUAUUUCUGUUCGCUUUGAUUUGCUAAACUCUUGAUGUGACGGCUCCACCUUCCCCUAAGGCGUACCCCAGGGUUUGGCGGGUCGCCUGCCCAUUUCUCGCCAGGACUCACUUACUUAUAACUCAAGAAAAAUAACAUACAUCCAAAAAUAAAUAAAUAACACAUCUACUUCAACUUAAUACAUAUAUUAAUGCUCAAAUCCAGAUACAAAACUUCUACACGUCAAGAUACUUUCAAGUGGUUACAAUUCAAGUACAAAGAACCCUUGUCGGGUGCUAGCGCGAGUACAAUUCCAAAAUUCAAAACAACUAGAUUAUGCUAAUCUGUACACGUCUCAUGCCUCGCUCGUACUCCCUAUAAGGAAAAUAAAUGGAGUGGAAUGAGCUAAAAAUCCAGUGAGGUUCCAAAUAACAAGUUGACCAUUAUUUAAAGGUACGCGUAUCAACGUAGCAAAAGAUAGCGAGCAUAACAAGUUCAUAAAAGUGAACACUAACACUUCAAGUAGCAAAUUUCCAAUGAACGAGUAUAAAGUGCUUUUGGUUUUCAAAAGAAUAAUAAUCCAAUAAGCAAUAAUCAUUUCCAAGUAUAAGGAUACAGAUGACUCUCAGGAGCCAAGUUCCCAUUGCUUCACCAAAGCUUGAUCAAAUAUUAGUUGAUACUCCGUCAAUUUUCAAGUAAAGUAACCAAUCCAGUAGAGAACCACUUAACUCCAAUCUCCGUCCACCAACCAAACCCCUUACUGGACCCGAACUCCAAGAUAACAUUGGUGGUAAUACUCGAGUAUACCGAUUAGUCGAGGAGAUAACACUCCGCUCGACAUCACUAACUAUCCAUGGUUCAUUAUCUAAUCGACCAAACCCUUGCCGGCUCGACUUGAUUAACUAGCCAGUAGAAUUUGGAUCCCCUAGAAUUCGAUGAGACAACCUCUCCAAUCGACUGAAUCAAGAUAAAAGUACGGAGACGGGAAUGAGAGGUACCUCCCACUCGGAUCGAGUGUGGUACAUACUGCUGCUCAGUACUUACAAGUCACGCACGAAUAUCUCAAAUCAAUUGCAACAAUAAACAAGUACAUAUCACAUUAGGGCAAGUGCAAUAAAGUACACCCUUACCCGAUCAUACCAAUCACAUAUCAUUCAAUCAUAUUGGUCAAGUAUUGAAAACCAGUGUCCAGUUCAAUCAGGUAUUUGGAAGCACUCACCAAAAAUCUAGUACCUCUCAAAAAUCACGUUCCGGUCCAACUCCUUGGUUGGAGUCCAAAUCUGCAAGAAAAUAUCAUUUACGAAUGUAAACCUUUCUAGAGUUUGAAACAUAAGAGUUUCACUUCAAGAAAAUUAAGUAAAUGUAACUUGUUAUGUAGUAUUCAAGAUACUUUUAAAUCUCGAAAAAUUCAUACUCGCUCUUAAACCUUUGAAACUUUGAAGCAAUUAUACUUUGAAAUACCAUUUGAGUCGAAGAAAGGGAGAAAACGUAUUUCUAUUAGUCGUAAUUUUCAUUUUUCCAAGGGUACAAGUUUCGACCGAAUUCUAACUCAUAUCCUCGAUAAAAGAAGAUGUAAAUACCCUAGAUAGUUCAAGUGGUAUUCACUCUCAAGCCUUACUCAAGUCGCAAGUAGAUCUACCUAACCCUCGAGCGUAAAUUUGGGCAGUACGCCCUUUUAUAUAUACCUAUUUCCCAGUCAUUUAUGGAUUCAUUCAUUUCCUCAAUCAGUCCCAAAGUCACACACAAAAUAAUAUCAUUUCAAUAGCCGUUCAAUAGGUUCAAAGUCAUACAAGUACAAAAUAAAGUUAGGAAAAUAUCUGGAAAUGAAGUUUAAGUCCUAAAGCAAAAGACAGAUUUGACGUUGUUUUGCGUAACGGACACAACUGAGGCUAUGCUUAUCAGAUUGGGGUGAAAUUUAUACUGUUUCGAAGCUAAGAGAAAGGGCUACAACUUUGAUGAAGACCACUCAGUCCAGUUCAUAGUGUAACUGGGUCAAAAUUUCAAUGUACAAAACCAGAAUCUCACAAACAGGUUAGCUAACCGCACUAUGGUUAAAUGACAAUAACUAAAGCUACCGAAGUCUGAUUGAGGCAUUUUUAGGGGCGUUGAAAAGCUAAGACAUAGCACUACAACUUCUUUGUUUUGCCCAAAUGCUAAUUCAUUACGGGUCAGGGUGAACAGAUGCGGUCAAGUUGGUGAAAUGUCAAAACUGUCCCUUAAGUUCUACCUAUGGCAGUCAAGGGUAUUUUUGUCUUUUCACAUGAUACAGUACUCGGAUUGAGCUGAAAUUUUACUAGUAGCUAUAAAACAUCAUUACCUACAACUUUUAUGUUUUAUGCUAAGCCUAAUUUAGCCUCCAACCUAGUCAAACAGAACUGGUCAGAACAGGGGAGGUGAAAAACUGAAAUCUAGAAUUUGAGGUUUCAAAGGAAAAUCUCUUCAUUUCUUGCUUAAAUCACUACCACAACCUCUUAUACAAGAUUAUAAUCAUCAUAUACCAUCUACCCAACAAGAAAUACAGUUGAAAACCUCAACCCUAACUCAAGAACAUGCACCAUAUCCAUCCAAACCAUUGAAAUAACUAUCAUUAACCAAAGAUUUGAGGUGCUAUACCAACUUAAACAAGAUUAAAAGUAAGAAAAUGGUAAACCAGCAUUAUUACCUUACUAAAGCUUCUUUCAAGAGUAACCCUAGCUUUCCCUUCCAAACUUUUACCAACCCACAACCACCUAAGUACUCAAAGGAAGUUUUAAUCGGUUUAGAAUCUUGUUUUUCUCACUCAAUCAAGCAAAACCCAAGAUGGAUUGAAAUGGUUUCCUCUCUUCUUUUUCCUCUCACUCUCACGGCUGGAAGACUGUAAAUGAGAGCUCAAAUGAAGCUUCAAGAAGGUUAAAAUGAUAGAAAUGAAUUUGGGUCAAAGGUGACAAGUGUCACACUUUGAUUGGUAGUCAAAUUUUGUUCUUUUCUCUCUUAUUUUUGGCCCAAUAUUUCGGCUGCCUUGAGGAUAUUUUGGGGCUGAUAUUAAUCAAUUAAUAGCAAGGAGAUUAAGGUAAUAAAGUAGUGUUCAAGUGGUGCACUCACUCGGUAACAAACGGUACCCAUCAGUUCAACCCGUUUUUUCUUAAAUCGCAUAUACUAGGGUUUUAACUUAUAAUUCACUAACUUAUUAUUAUCACUUCUAAUCACACACUUAAUAUCAUCUAAAAUUCACUCUUAAUCACCAAAUUUGAUCCACUCUCCGUACCGGAUAGUCACACAAGGGAUAGGCGUAAAAAUCUUAGUUUACCCUAACGAUAAGUUGCUUCCAUAAGUAACAUUAAAGUAAGAAAGUAAAAAAGAUAAGUUGCUUCCAUAAGUAACAUUAAAAUUCACACUACAAGUUCCGAAAUAUAACAAUUGUCCCAUUCUUACAUUUGAUCCAAAAGGUAUCUGAAUUCCCAAAGUACAAAAUAGCCAAGCAAUCUAGUGAAUUACAUUUGGAAUAUAAUACAGAAGUACUUCAAAAGGGGUUCCAUCAAGUUCCACUCCAUCCAUCCCUAUUAAGGAAAACAAAUCUACGGGAUGAGCAAAACGCUCGUGAGGCCAAGAACACACAUGCAAGUACAUAGUCCAAGUAGCAGACCCAAAUAAUAGGUCAAAUGAUAAAGUGCGAGUAGUUAACAAUUUCAAUGAAAUGUAACCAAAAACAAUUCAAGGAUAUGGUAGUUCUCAGGAGCUAAGUUCCACUUGCUUUGUCAAUGUCAUCCGUAUACCAUCCCGCGAUGACUCUCCGUCAACCGGGUCGGUAUUUCCAAUCCGUAGACCUCCACUUACUUCUCAGGUCCGUCCACCGUACAUACCACACCGGACCUGCACGACAUUUAUAAGACGAUACUCAAUGAGUAUGCCAAGCAAGAUCUCUCCAAUAGAUCAAACUUAUCAUGUGAUUCUCAUGGCUCACCGAGGUUCCCGACCAAACCCAUGUCGGCUCGAGUCCCAAGGUCGGCCUAUGAGUUUGGGUGUCCCUCAUGUACAUUUGAGUGUCGAGGAGGUUCACUCCAACGACGUAUGCAGCCAUAGCAUACUUAUUUCAUGUAAUUCAAGCAUUUGAUACAUUCAAGCAUUUGAACUUUCGAGCAUUUGGCAUAUUAAAACAUUUCAAGUAUGAGUAAUUCAAUUCAAAUUAGAACGAGUGCGAUAAAGUACAUACUCGACUCCAUUUUUCCAAAAUCUCAAGUCCUCAAUAGUAAACAAGCAUGUACAAAGUUCACAGGAGUUCAAGUAGUCACACACAUGACACUCAUCAAGUAAAACAAGAAGGAAUGGCACUCGAAGUUCAAGCGCCCACCGUGGGAUCCUCUUGAAGUUCUUCUUGUGUGCCUGACCAAUUAAUAAUGGACUAUUACUUAUAAACCCCAAACGAUGAGGAAGAUCGUACACUAAUACAAUCUAGAAAAUAUCUCAAAAAUCGAGUCUAGGUUUUCUUUUGAAAAAUCGAGACUCAAGAGAGUUACAAGACUCGAGUAAAAACGGAUCAUUAUCCUUAAGAUCAUUGGAAGGGAACAAGUACGAGCAAAUAGAUCUCAAAACGAACGACGGAAGUCUGAAAAGGGCAGGUGACGUCACAAUCCAGCCGGAUUCCUGGCCGGAUUGGAGGCAGAGACCAACCUCCAAUUUUUUUCAAACUCCAACACCAAUCCGGCCGACUAUUCUGCCAAGAAUUGGCCGGAUUCAAGGCCGGAUUCUGGUGAACAGUUUCCAGCGCAGAUUGCCUUCAAAUGGUCACAAUUUUUUAUUUUUGAUGAAAUCUUUGAAAAAUCAUAACUCACUCCCUGGUUGUCCAAAAUUGGAAAAUUUGGUACCGUUGAAAACAUUUUUCAAAAUACUAAAAGUUUCUAAAAGAACCUUUCCAUGAAUCCAAGUGGAAGGCAUUCAAAUUUUGGCUUGAAGUUGAUAACUAGAGUUAUCAAGAUAGAUUUAAGUUGGUUUUUGGCCAAUUUUGAAAAUUCAGCAAAAUUCACUCAAUUUGAACUAGCCUUUGAAAUUUGAUACUCUACUAGAGUUACAAUCCAAGUUUAAAACAAAAUAAGCGGAACAAGAAUUGAAGUUUUGAACACCAAGAUAUGAUAGUUCAAAGUUAUCCAAAUUUCCUUGUUAAAUAAGGGUUUUCCAAAAUUAAGUCAUGAACUUUGGAAGUUUAGUUGAGAAAUGCAACGGCCUCGGAAUAGCACCAAAAUUAGCAGUAUAAUAUUACCAUAUAAGGACUAUUUCUCUGCCAAAUUUCAUUGAUAAAUAAGCACGGAAAGUUGGUUAACUAAAACACCCAAGUUUCUAAAAUUUCAAGGCAAAACUGCCUUGUGUACAAAAUGUCCUUUAUCUAAGCUUUUGGCCACAUGAAAUCCUUGCAAACAUGGUACAUUUUAGUAGACAAUGUUUAUUAAACAUCCAAGAUAUGUUUGAUGGUGAUUAACACCAAGAAUCUCGAAUUAACAAGUCUCAAUCGAAUUUAGUAACAAUUCUGCCCAAAAGGAGAGUUUUCCUUCAAGAAGUCAGUUUCAAAAUAUGGUCACAAAUCACUCAAUUCAACUGAGAAUUGGGUGUGGUUGGUGGCGUUGGAAAACACUUUCAUUAAUCUACAAUUUCUCAGAAGAAACCAUUUUCAAAAUCCAUCCACAACUAGCUCACAUUUGAGCAUCAAGUUGUAGUUCAUGUUCUGCCCUGUAGUGAACCAAUAAAACAGGACAGCAAUUUUUAAACGAAUGGUUUGGCUUACAUAAGUGGAACCCGAAUGUACAUUUUAUACCAAUAGAAAGCUGAGAAUGUCUAGUUUCCAGUGCCAUAAACGACACUCGAUUUUGACAUCGGAGCAAAAAGUUAUGACUGAAACAAGAUGACUGCCUGGGCAGUUACGGGAACCAUUUUCCUGUUUUCUAAGCUUUCGAAAUCAACACAUUUGGAUGAUCAAAUCAUGUUAUUUUUCAAUGAAACUUUUCACACACUCAAUAUAACACAUAUACAUCACAAAAAACCCAUUAGAAACUCAAAAUUUUGCAUCAAAGGUCACGAACAUGGCAGGGGUAAAAUAGUCACUUUUGCUCAAUGCACCAUCCUUGAGUUUUUAUCAACAACCCAACAUUAUACCACUAAUAAGCACUAAACCAACAUUAAUUUCAUCAUCAAUCACCAAGUCAGUCCAUCCAACCAAAGUGGGAGUUUAUAGAGCCCACACAACAAUUUUUUAACAUAAACAAGCUACCAAUAUGCAUGCAUGAGUUUAAAUGAGCUCUACUACUUCCAUAAAUCAAGUUUCCAAGGUUUGAUCGUUGCUUACUUGUUUAGAUGAACCAAGCAGAAAUUUCGGUCCUCUUACAGCUCACAAAAACCGUGGAAAUGAAGUCCUUUUUCUAGUUUAAGAUGCUCUCCAAGUGAUUAGCAAAAUGUGGUUGAAGUUUGAGGUGAUUUGGUGAUGAUUUAGUGAAGAAAUAAAGAAGAAUUUGAAGCUGUUUUUCCUUCCUUGUUGUUCGGCUGUUUGAGUGAAGGAAUAGAAGAGAUGUUGCUGAUGGUAAGCUUCCGUGAGAAGCUUUAAAAUUUGUGGCUAAAAGUUGCUUCAAAAGUCAACUCUCCCUCGCGCGCACGCGCUCGUUUUGUGCUCGAUUCCUCUUGCAUUUGUUUCACUAGUGCACUAAACCUCUAAUGCACUUCCAUUCAUAUUAUUAUUAUCCACUCUUAUGGGUCUAAAAAUAAUGAUCUGAAGUCCCUCAAUUAAUCACGCGCGUAAAAACGCAUAUUUCCAAUUUAAGUGCAAUAAAGUGAAAUCUCCAAGAAAUUCUUAUAACAAUAGUACCACUAACUAUCACUUGAAUACUUAAGCAUAAAAACACCUAUUUUAAGACCAUUGUGCAAGCCUCUAAUUUUCCAAGCUUAUUGUAUUCUCGAAUCAAUUAUUGACUCCAAUCGAGUAUUCACCAUUUUCACUUAACAAGCUUCCAAAAAUUAAAUUUUGAAACAAGUCACUUUAAAAAUAUAACUAAGCUAUAAUUCCAUAUAAUUAGGUCUAAAAAGGUUAGAAAAUAAUAUUCAAGGCAAUUGCCCAAAUAAAUAAUUAAAUGAGCUUGAAUUAGGAGUUUAAAAUAGAUGAAUUUUGUGAGUCUUCACAUGAGUCUUGUAUUACUUCCUCAAAUCUCUAAUAAAUUUGUAUCAGCGUGUCUUUUGAAAAAUUAUCGACGCGCAAGCGGUAUACACUUACUUAAAACUCAUUCACCUUUAAUUCAUCAAUUAACUCUUUAUCUACUAUUGAUCAUUCUUAAUUCCCCAAGAUAAAUGCACUCUCGAAUAGAAUAUCACCUUGAAACACAUGUACUCAUUAUUCCUCACUUAAAUGAACCUCCGAAAAUUAAAUUUGCUAAUGGGACGUUUUAAAAACAUAAGGAAGACAUUGUUCCAUAUGAAUGGACUUAGAAUGGUUGAAAUAAAUUAUUUGGAGAAAUAGGUGAAUAAAUAUUUAAAUAAACCAAUAAUACUCGAUAAAAAUAAGAAAUUUUUUUUUCGGGUUCUCACAUAAUAUAUGAUAUCCAAGGAUGCCCAGCCAUUAGAAUUGUUGAUAAUCAUAAUAAUCAUCUGAUUACCAAUAAAUAGUUCAAUAAUUAAUGAUCAUUAUGAAUGACUAAACUACAUCUUAAUUUUUUUUGCUUAAAAGGAUCUACUUAAAUUAAGUUCCUUUUCUGAAUAAUAGAUAUAGAGGUUCUUCCUUACACAGAAUUCAAUUAUUGGCAAUCUGGGAAUUUUUCUGUUUCACCAAAACAGUAGGAAGCGGCAAGAUACAUUUGUCGGUGGUGUAGUGUCAGACUAUCAUUUAAUCAUUUACUCCUAAUUAUAGAAUAUUGGUUGGUCCCACAUUAAAGACGUGAUUUAUAAACAACGCCUUCAUAUACACCCUUACGGCAGUUCGUUGAGUUCGGUUGCGUGAACUCCUGGCCAAGCGAGGCAAUCUCCGAACGUCAUGCAAGGACGGUUUCUCGGGCCGGGUUCGCCCUCUUGCCUCCUGUAUUCUUGCCCGAAUGUGGGCUUUAUGACUCGGGAAGUAAUUGAUAAUCAUGUAUCCAAAUUUUGUUCAAAAAAAUUUCAAGGCAUUUUAUCCUCUUUCCUCUACGCGGACAUGCAUAAUCUUGCGUUUCCACGGCAAAUAAUAAUAAUAAUAAUUUUGGUAAUCAUAACUGCCAAAUUCAAAGAAAGCUUGCUUUUGUAUGUUUAUUUUCAAUAAUGUUUUGCAAAUCUAUGUAAAAAUUAUUGUGUUGUAAAAUAGGAAUAUUCGUGUGUUCAUUUUAGACUUCUACUUUUUUGUAAUUUUAAGAAGUAUACUAAUUUUAGGUAAAAUUUUGAUGUACUAUUAGUGUAUACACAAGCAAGUAUAAAAUAUAUAUAUCACAUAAUGUAAAUUCAAAUUUGAAAUUCACUAUUUGCAUAGAUGAUAUACUUUUAUGCCUAUAUGUAUAUAUAAACACACACACACACACACACACACACAUAUAUAUAUAUAUAUGUAUGUAUGUAUAUUAUAUAUUGUAAGUGAGAGGAUCGGAACUCAUAACCUCAUAUUUACAACUCUUCCCAUUUUACCAUCCAAUCUAACUCUUCUAAAUUAUAUAUAUAUAUAUAUAUAUAUAUAUAUCGAUCCUCCAUACAUACGUUCUUUAGUACUUGUGAUUAUUAAUUAUCUCAUUUUAGAUUGAUGAAUUUAUCAAUGACAUUUUUGUUUAAAAAACGUAAUGACAUCAAAUAGGCACAAUGAUCUACACGACAGAAUUGUAUGUAAUAGGCAAUGAUUUUGGAAAUUCAUUUCCAUUACAAGAGACAUAUUGGGGAUUAUAGUUUGUAAUGUGUCAACUAGUCAUAAGCACUUGUCAUCCCCUGUGGGAAGAGAAACAUGUAGUUCACCUAUUCACAAGUGCAAAGAAUAUUUCCUUUAGCAAUUUGAUUCUAACGUAAUUUUUGUAGAACAUGCAAACUCAACAGACAUGGUGUAGGUGUGAACACAUCUGAUUUUGAAAAAAAAAUAUUGCAAUAUGGAACCCAAUUUUGAAUUGGGUCAAUCACAAUCCCAUCUAGCACAUAGUAUCUUGGGAUACAUUUGGAACACUUUAAGAUUUCUAACAAUUUCACUUAGUGCUCCUGAAUUUUGAAAAAUAUCACUUUCCUCCCAUAUUUUUUUUAUUUUUGAUAACACUAUCAACCCAUUUCAAAAUAAAUUAUUAAAAAAGGGAUUAUUAUCAUUUUACCCCCUAACCUUUAUAGCUAUUAUCACUAUACCCUAUAAUAUUAUCUUUUAAUCAGUUUACCCCCAAGACUAACAGUCAAAGCAAACAGCGUUACAUAAUUUAGAUGAAAUGACAUAUGUAGCCCAAAAUAAUAGUUGAUGACAAAAAUGCCCAUUUUGUUCCAAAAUUGCAAUGGGCAGGAAAAAAUGCACGUUAUGUAGGAAAAUUAAAAAAAGGAAAAAAAAAGGGAAAAAGAAAGAGUUAUUGCUUAGGAGGGAACUUAGGAGGGUUCCCUCAUUGAAGUGAAAUUCUUAUUUCAUUCUCUUUUAACGAAGAAAAGAAAUUUUUACAGUGUUUAAACCCCUAAAUUUCUUUAACCUUACAUCUCUGCUCUUUGACGAUCAAAGGAUCAAGUGAUCAACAAAUCCAAAGAAAGAUCGAAAGACUUUGUAGCAGGAGUUGAGAAUUGUUGGUGUGAAAGAAAAAUAAAACAAGGUACAUCUCAAAAUACCCAAAAUGUAAUGUAAUAUGUCUUCUGCAUGUUGAUCCUUUCAAUAUGCUAAAAUGAUUUAGCUGUUCCAAGGUAGUAAUCUUUAAAUCAAUCACGUUAGUGGAUUUGAAAUUCAAGGGAAAUACAGACUUACAACUUAUUGGUUACAAUAACUAAUAUUAUAUUAGUCCUAGCCAACCUACCAAUUGCUCUAUAGAAAAAUAUUCCUAGCCAAGUAUAUGGAUUUUUUAUGAAUUAGUAGAUUGUGAAUCAAUGACUCGAGGCUUUUCUAUUCUUGUACUUUUAUGCGUAUUUCAGUUGGAUGUAUCAUAUAUAUUAUGGUUGACUUUUCAGAGCCACAAGUAUGCACACUUUCAAGAUUCACUAUGAUGGCCAUUUUGUCCAUGCUCCUAUGUUUGAGUACGUGGGGGGAAAAGUAGCACACUUUCUUGACAUUGAUCCUGAUCUCAUGUCAUAUUUUGAAAUUCUUAGCUACUUGAGAAAAAUUAACGUGGAUGAAAACUUUCCGAAGUACUAUAAGAUUUCUGGAUUUGACUUGUUACAUGGGCUUAGACUACUUAACAGUGACAGUAAUGUCUUAGAAAUGCUUGAAUUCAACAGGAACCACAAUAUGGUUGAGAUAUAUGUUGGUUUUGGUGUCGAUAAUGAUGCUUUUGUUGAGGAACCUAUGCUUAAUAAUUUGGUUGACAACAGUGCUCAUCUGGAGCACCUUGAAGUUGGAAAUGCUGCCAAUGAUGAGGGAAAUGGUGCUGGAGUUCAAAAUCAUGAGAGUUUAGAAAAUGAAAAUGAGGACUGUGAUUCUUCUGACGAAGCGUAUCAUGCUGAAGAAGGAGGAUCAAGUGAUGAUUCUAAUUUUGAAUUUUUUCUUGAUGAUUGAAUGAUGGGUGUGAUCCAUGGGAAGGGGAAGAAAAUUUAGAGGAAACAAAUGAACAGCAAAACUUCUCAGAUUAUAGUGAAUAUGCUCAGUUGAUUGCAAAGGAGUACCAGGCUUAUGUUGCCUCUAGGGAGAAGGGAAAAAUGUUAGAGACAGAGUUUGUCAGUGAUGAUGAAGUAUUGACUGUUGCUUUAAACUCAUCUGAUGAAGAACAACAUGAAGAUUUUCCUGAAUUUAAUAUUGAAAAGGACAUGGAGAAGCCUAACUUAGAAGUUAGACAUCUAUUUACUAAUGUGCAAGAUUUUAGGCUUGCUAUAAGACAUCAUUCUAUAGUAAAUGGGUUUGAGAUAAAUUGGAAAAGAAAUGACAAUGAUAGGAUUGUGAUCACUUGCAAAAGAAAUUGUGGCUGGAGAGUGUAUGCCAGUGAGUAUAGGGAUACCAAACAAUUCCAAAUAAAAACACUAGAUAGAACUCCUCAUCAAUGUCUACAUUCCUACAAGAACAAGAGUGCUAAUGCAAAAUGGAUAGCCCAAAGGUUUAUUAGAGACAUUGCGGAUAAUCCAUCUCUAAAAAUUGAUGUACUUAAGAAGGUAGUGAAAAGAAAAUAUAAUGUGAAUGUGUCUGACCAACAACUUUACAGGGCUAAGAGUAAGGCAGCUAAGAUGAUCCAGGGUGAUCAUAAGAUGCAGUAUUGGAGAAUUAGGGACUAUUGUGCUACAAUAAUUUGUAAGAAUCCAGGUUUUGUUGCUAUUGUAGUAAUUGAGAGAUUGCCUAUGUGCCCUAAUCCGAUCUUCAAGAGAAUGUUUGUGAUGUUUUCUACUCAAAAAGAAGGCUGUAUUGUUGCAUGUAGACCUGUGAUAGGACUAGAUGCUUGUCAUAUAAAAUCUACAAUGGGGGGGACAGUUGAUGGCUGCUGUUGGUAGAGAUGCUAACAAUCAGAUGUAUCCACUCGCUAUGGCACUAGUAGAGUCUGAAUGCAAAGAUAGCUGGGACUGGUUCCUUGACCUACUAACUGAUCAUAUUGGAUUACCAAGUGAAUUAGGUUGGGUUUUCAUCUCUGAUAGACAAAAGGUUAGUCAACUAUUAUUUUGGUUUAGUUGACAAAUUUUUUUCCCAUUUAUUUUACACAUGAUGCUAAUUACGUAUUUUGUUUACAUGGAUUGAUUGAGAUAAUGGAGAACAGAUUUCCUAGAGUUGAGCAUAGAUAUUGUGUCAGGCAUAUGUACGCCAAUUUUAAACUACGAUUCAAAGAUAAACAAUUGAGGAAUAUCAUGUGAGCGGCUGCUAGAGCCUAUGUACCAAACAGAUUUGAGGCUAAUAUGAGAGAAUUACAAGCAAUAUCACCUGAAGCUCAUGCAUGGUUAAGAGUUGUUCCAACAAACUUAUGGGCAAGACACAUUUUUUCUAGUAGAACUAAGUAUGACCUUCUAACCAACAACAUAUGCAAGAGCUUCAAUCAAUAUGUUAAGAAGGCAAGGCAAGAACCUAUUUUGAUCAUGUUUGAGAAUAUUAGAAGACAAAUCAUGUGUAGAUCUCAUGAGAAAAGACAAUGGAUUAAAAGAGUUCAGUCCAAAAUCUGCCCAAGAAUAGUUGAGAAAAUAGAUAACCACAAGACUCAGGUGCCACUUUUUGAAAGUAGGGAAUCAGAAAGUGGGAUAUGGGAAAUUGCUGAACCUACUAAGAGUUAUAUAGUUUCCAUUAAUGAAGGUAGCUGCACAUGUAAAGAGUGGGAAAUGACAGGCAUCCCAUGUGUUCAUGCUUGUGUGGCAAUUGUGAAUAGGGAUGGUGAGCCAGCUAACUUUGUUCAUGAUCGGUACACAGUUGACAUGUAUAAAAGGGCCUACAUGAACCUUAUUAUACCAGUUCCAGAUGAAAACAAGUGGGUGAAAUCAAAUACAGAUCCAGUGGCACCCUCUCUUAUAAGAAAAGCACUCAGCAGGCCAACAAAGAAAAGAAGAAAGGGACCUGAUGAGAACCAGCAAUCCAACAAACUUAGCAAAAAAGGCAUACCAAUUCAUUGCAGUCACUGUGGUCAUACAAAUCACAAUGUAAGGAGCUACAAAAACACUGGCUGCUUGUAUGUUAGGAAAAGAAAACAGGUAGUGACCAGCUUUAUUUGAUUCAUAAUUCAACAAGUUUCAGCUUUUUGUUAGCUUAGUUCUUUAUCUUUUUUGUUCUAGGUUGAAAAAGCUACCGGUAACAAUUCAGAAGAAACUAGCAUACAACCAAAAAAUUCCCAAGUUGCACGUACAUGCAGUGUUAGAGAUAGGGGAAUUGCUAUUGGAAGGGGGUGUGGCUUAAGUGUUAACUACAAUAGAGGUAAGAGAACUAAGAUGGGAAGGGGUCGUGGCAAAUGUGUAAGCUAUGGUCCAUUGAGUGGGAUUGACAACUGGAAUGGUAUGGGAAUGUCAACUGGAACAACUUUUAUUCACCACUCAAGAAUCGUAAAAUUGUUCACUUUUGCCUAGUUUCCUUUAUCAGUACAAUCAUCACUCAUAAAUGUAAUUCAUUGCAGAUUUCCCCACAAAUGGUGCCUACAAAGUGUGCUAGUCAGAGUGGAAGUGAAGGCAGAGUGACUACUAUUAGAGCUGGUGGAGGAAGCAAUGGUGAUAUUAUGAGUGAGAAAGCAAGUGCUGAUAUUAUGAGUGACAAAGCAAGUGGUGAUUUUAUGACCGGAGCUCCAUUUAGAACUUCAAGCAGUAAAAACUACAACGCUGGAAAUCAGGUUAGAAUAUUGAAGCCUUGUGCAAUUUAAUAAACUCCAGUGAUGUAGUGUUGGUUGUACGGUUAUGCUUUUUCAUAUUUUCACAUCUUCUUUUAGGUUCACAAGGUGCAAACUAGAUAUGGAGUCCAUUUGCUAUCCAGCAAAGGAUCGUCAAGUGCUGCUUCAAAGUCCAGCAUACCAGUUGGCAAAAAAUGAUAUUUCUAAUGGUCAACAAUUUGAAGAUAAUGUUUUGUUCUUUUCUUUUUGGAUGAAUUGAUGAUAUUUUGUUAUUAAUUUUGAUGGAUUCCCACUAAUGACAGAUAGUGAAUGAUUUUUUUUUUGUCCCAACCAGACAAUGAUUAUGCUUUAUAUAUAUGUAACAGCGAGCUAAACUUGAUAUUGAGAAUACAUUCAAGGUCAAUAGAAUUUUUUUUUAUUUGGUGGUAGCAUCUAACAACAGUCGUUAAUCUUCUUCAUUGUCACUUGGUAUAUGAAAUUUCAAUUUUUUUGAAAGUUUGCAAAAAGGAUCUAUCAGUCUGAAAAAAGCAAAAAAUAGUUUCUAGUAUAAGAAGUUCCAGAUGAUUUUUUUACACUUACGAAAAAAUAUAAAUAUGUCCAGAAAAAUUUUAUAUUAUAACCUUGUAGGUAGAGUAGACAAGAAAUUAAGAGAAUAAAAUAAGAAAUAAAAAAAUAAAAAUUAAGGGAUUUGUGAACGAUUUAAGAAAAAAGAGAAUAAAAAAAGGUUGGAUAUCAUUUUAAGAGAAAAGGAAUUUAAAAAAAAAUCAAGACAAUUGCAAAUACUAUGAGCAAAAAAAAAAGAAGAAACAAGUUCUUCAAGGCUUAAGGGUAUUUUCGUCUUAAAAAUUAGUAACAACGAGUUGGCUAACGGAAAUGGGUAAACUGACUAAAGAAUAAUAUUAUGGGGUAAAGUGAUAGUAGCUAUAAAGGUUAGGGGAUAAAAUGAUAAUAACCCUUAAAAAAAAAACUCAUUUUUGGAUAAAGAAGAUGAUUUCAUUCCAAACGUGCCCUUAUUCAUCCUAGUUUUUUUUUUGAAAAAAUUUAAAAGUAUAUUAAGAAAAGGUUGAAAUUAAUAGACAUAUUGUUUGAAUGUGCAAUUUUAGUGGGAUACAAUAUAACAGUAAGUGUUUUAAGGUAUAAAUAAUUUAUUUUUAAGAGUAUAUUUGAGGUGCUUUCAAACCAAAAAAAUAUUAUUAAUUGCAAAGUGUUUACCAUCAAUUUGAUGAGUUUUUUAAAUUAUUAGAAUUUCUGAAAAAUAGAAUAAAUUUAUAUUAUAUUUAAAAACUCAUUUUAUAUGUUUUCGAAGACUAAAAGGAGUUAUUAUUUUAUUGAAAAAUGUUUGUGAAUUUCUAAAUUUAAUAUAUAUUGUUUCAACUAAUGAUAUGAAAACUAUUAAAAUAUUUUUCAAUCUUGUUAACAUCCUAUAAUUCUUGGCUACAAAAUUAUAACGGCAAAGUUUUAAAAGUUUAAGAUAUUAACUAAUUUAUUAUGAAAACAAAAAAGACGUACAAGAAAAGGGCAACAUUGGAAUGAACACGAAUUCUCUAUUCAAACAUAAGUUUUUUAAUAAUAUAUUAUAAAAUGAGUUUACACUGCUAUAGAAAAAAGUUGAAAAUAAAGGAGGCAAAUAAUAUCUUUUAAAAUUCAAGAGGUUAAGUGAAUUGUCACGGAACUCAAGGAAAGCCGGUGAAAUUAUCCCAAAUAUCUUUAUCCCAAGUGUCCUUAUCCACGUUAAAAGAUUGUGGGGAUAAUUACUCUGAGUUUAAAGUUUUAAACCGCACUUUCAAUUAUCAAUUGACUAGAUCGUAUUGAUUUAUGAGCUCCACUUUAGAUUAUAUUUUGCACUAAAAUUUCGAUUACCUCUGAAUGUUAUUCUAAUUUUGUUAUAUGAUUUCCAGUAAUUUCGAUUGUUGAAAAAAAUGUCUUUAUCCACAAUAACCCUUCGCACAAUUUCUUCCUAGAAAGGACGGAAGAGAAAUCAAGUAGCCCUAGUUGAUGCAUAUCAGUACUGAACUACUGAUGAGUAGUGACUCACAACAGGAUAAGCACUAAGGAUAUGAGAUGAGAGAUCUCGUGGACCAAUCAAUUUGCGGAUUUUGAUAAUCUGUGGACCAUGUAAUAUGCUUGUGGUGUAUAUUUUUUUGAAGGUAAACUACUUUUUUUUGUCUUAGUAAUAUUAUUUUAUGUAUCCAUGGACCAUGUGUUAUUAAUUUAUUACACUGGAUAGUAGAUACCGAAUAGUCAAAUACCACCUGUCAUUUUGCUGAAGCUGAUGGCUUCUUUUUUUUUUUUUCAAUUAUGCCCUUUUCGCAUAAAAUUGCCCUUUUCAACUUUCUUGGGUUUUCUCUAAAUUGACUGAGAAGCAUAUGGUGGGGUCCAGAGCAUUAAUAGUUGAGUUGAACAGUUGAAGUCAAAUCCGUGAUAAUUUGUGGUUCACGUUUCUCUGAUUUUCUUUACGUCAUUCAUGACGUAAACAUUUUUGUAUUUAUAGGUUAGAACAGCCAUUGGAUGACAGCCACUGUGGGUUUCACACCCAUAGACACCUAUCAAAACAGUUUCAUUAAUUUAACAAAUUUAGUUUCUUAAUUAUACUUAAUUAUUCAAAGACCCAAAAUAUUUUUUAAAAUUGAUUUUUCUUUGGUUUUCUUAUUUUGCAUUAAGAGAUAAUUUUAGUAACCUCCUCUCAUAUUUAUAUUAAUAUCAUUUGAUAUCCCUAAAAUUUAAGAAAGUUCACCUACCUCCCUUAUUUUUAACAUUUUUUUAACUUUAUCAAUCCAUUUCAAAAGAUUUGAUUUAAAAACUUAGGCCCUGUUUGGAUUGCCAUUUUCUGUCAGAAAAUUGCGUCGUUUUCCGUGAUCACAUUUCCCUAUUACCUUUUUCCCUCACAUACAUCAAAUCGCUACAGUAAUUUUUCCAUGAAAAAUGACGAAAAAUGCAAUCCAAACGGGACCUUAGUUUGAGAGAGAUAAAACAUUUCUUUUCAAAAACUACCCGUUUCUUGUGCACAAUUACUUUUCAUAAUAAAUCAAAUUAAAUCCUUAAGAAUUACAAUAUAUUAAUGAAAUUGAAAGACCUUUUUGUAACUUUCUAUGUUAUCGGUCCGGACAAGAAAUGCAAAAGAAAAAUUGUUAUUAUUAGAAAAAAAUAACAUUUUGCAUCUUGAAAAUACCUCAAAUGAGUUUCUAAAAAUAUUGUUAAUAAUUUAUCUUUCUCUUAUAUUCAAGCCAUCGAUUUGGACAAAAAGUUAGAAUACUAAACAAAAUUCUAUAAGUUUUAUAAAAUUCUAAAUUUAUCUAAAAAUACUUUUUAAUAAAGAAAGUUACUUUUACAUUUUUUGGAAACACCUCAAAUGAGUAAAAAACAUUAUGUCUGUUUUUUAUACUCAAGUCAUCUGUCUAUACAAAAAAUUUAGAAAGUUCAUUUUUUUAACAUUCAUAAAACUCCUCAAAUUAAUGAAAACACUUCAUAGUGAACGAAAAAUAUUUUAGCUUGAACGCACCCUUAAAUAGUAAUCUUUUGUGCCUUAAAAACACCUACUCGUAUAAUUUUUUCUAUUAGAAUUAAAGCAUUUCCUCUCUCCAAAUAUGAGUUUCUUAAUAAUAUUUUUUGAAUUGGGCUGAUAACAUUACAAAAAGCUGAAAAUGAGAAAGGUAAGUGAAAUUUUUUCAAAAUUUAGGGGUAUCAAGUGAUGUUGCAACAGACCUUAAGGGAGGUUUCUGAAACUAUUCCUUGCAUUAAUGUAGAAAUUGUUGGUUGGCUUCGCAAAGGUAGAAAAGCUGCGACCCCUUGGCACGUCAGGUUGAUGAUAGAGCACUUUUCUUUCGUUGAUUUUGAAGUUUAAGCUGGUACAGUUUUAAUAUGUUUAUACGUCUAUGGAAUUGCAAAAAUGAUGAUAAUUUUUAAUCAAUUAAGGAAAAUUUUUUUCUCUCCAUAAAAAAAUUUAGCGUCUUAAUCGACUUUGCAGUCCAUUAGUAUACAAAAUCUUACAUGUGCCUCACUCUCUCAUAGAUUUCCGUUUGUAAACAUCCCAGAAUUCCGAUGCAUUAUGAAAUAUCAUCAAAUAGGUUGCUAGUAAAGAAGAGAGUGACUUUUCUUGGAGGAAGAAGACGGUGACUUAAAAGUCCGUUGCAUCAAUUUUUCUUUUGAGUAAUAAUCCUCAUUAUCAUUUGUUGGCAAUCAUUUUAGUUCAAACCCCCCUUAGUCAAAGUACUCAAAGGAACUACUGCCUUAAUCUGUCCAUAUGAAAAGAAAAGGGCUUCCACCGAGACUGUAAAUAACAAGAUGAUUGACAAGUUAGAUGGCAUACCUUCUGAUUAAACAAUAGUCACCAAUAGUUAAGUAUUUAAUUAAACAAUAGUCAGCUUGCCGCAGCAUAUCCAAGUCACCAAUAGCAACAUACCUUUUGAUUCUACACCAAUAAAUUAAUCCUUUCCUCGUAUUCUCCCAAAGAUUAAGGAAAAAAAAGUAAGAUUAUAGAAACAAAGAAAGUUCAGUCAUGCCCCUAGCUUGAGUAAAUCGAGGGAAAGAAAAACAAUAUAUAUAAGAGGGAAGUCAGACAAGUCGUUUAUUGAAAAUUUUUUAACAAUAUUUUUAUAAUCUAACCUAUCUUAUUUAUUUUAUAUGAGAGUGAAGUCUAAAAAAAUUAUAUAAAAAAUUAAUAAAUAUACAAAGAUGACUAGACAAAAGAAUGUUUUAACAUCUCCUUUUAUUUUUCAUUUGUUUUUCUCGGCAAAUGAAAUUGAAUUCUCGACUUACAGAGAGUUACCGUCUAGAGAGAAAUUUGGAAUAUGCUUGGAUUAUAAUUUUUUAAAAAAAAUUAUUAUAUUUUUUAUAAACAUAUUUUUUUAAUCACUUUUUUACUUCACAAAUAUCAAAAUACUACAAUAAUUUUUCUACAAAAAAUUCAAAAAAAUACAAUCUAAACAAAAUCUUAAUCUUUUUUUGAUGGUGGUAUAACAAUAAUUAUGAAUAUAUGUAAACCCCCGAGCAGAAACUAUGUAGUUUCUACAGGUGUCUAUUGUCUUAUAUAUAUAUAUAUAUAUGUAUUAUUUUUUUACUAGAAGAAAUUCUCAAAAUAUUUUCACAUCUUCAUUUUAUUUUAAAUUAAAUAGAAAAUAAAAAAUUUCUAUUUCAAUUGAGCACAACCUGUCUUUUGUUGCCUCCCCAAAAAAAAAAAAAAAAAAACAGAGCCAAAGCUUAUUGACAAUUUAUCCAAAAAUAUAUAUAUUUUAUUGAAAAUUUUUUAAGAGUACUUUUUGUGAUCACUUUUUGUUUUAUAUAAAUCAAAUGUUUAAAGAUGGCAAAAUAUUAUUUAUUUUUCUAAAAUUACUUCUUAAAACCGCAAUCCGAAUUUACACCUCAUAAUCCUAUCUCCCAAUUUAACCCAACAAGGCACAAUUAGAUGCCAAUUCUCAUUCUCAUCGCCAAAUACCACCAAAAUGCUGAUUAGAUUUGACCAACAAAAAAGGGGAUUAAAAAUAUGUACAAUACAUUAACCAUAAUCCACAUAGUCAACAAAAGAUAAAGUAGCCUCAGCUACCAAAAGCCGAAAAAAAAAAGGCCAAAAAAAAAACAAAAAGGAGCAGAGAAGUAAAAGUGAUUAAGCUAAAAAGUAAAAUCCACCCAAAAUUUGAUUUUACUUCACAAUUCAGUAGGUCGGAACGACGCCGUAAGACGCAUCAGCAACUAUUAACGAUUCAAUUUCAACUUCCGCCCGCUUCGCAAACCUUCCUUUAAUUCUGGGUCGGGUCUCC